UAUACAAUUGAUUCUAUUUAAUAUGUUUGGUUAAAUUUGAGUUAAUGUUUUUAUGGGGUUUAAUGUUUAAAUUUUUAGGUGAAAUUUGUAUUUAAAUUAAGUCUUAUUAGAUUCUUUUAAANGUUGUUUUAAAUUAGGAUUAGAUACCCUAUUAUUUUAUUUGUAAAGAUUUUCUGGGUAGUAUUAGUUAUGUCCUUUAAACCUAAAGAAUUUGGCGGUGUUUCAUUCUGUUUAGAGGAAUUUGCCCCUUGAUCGAUAGUCCCCGUUUUAUCUAGCUUAAUUUUGUUUAUCAGUAUGUAUACCUCCGUUAUAGGUUUAUUUUUUUAGAAAAAUUUACUGGUAAAUUCAUUUAUUUUUAUUU
rnacentral:rRNA from 1 species